GGCAGGAAAAAAAAAGCCUUAAUCCAUACGAAGUUAU
rnacentral:sRNA from 1 species